UGACCAGUAUCAUUCGCGCCUGUACCGCGUCAGGAUCGUCGAACAGGAGUCUUCGGUGAUACAUGACAAGUGCUUCGGUCGACGAUUAACGCCGUCUGUCUUUGGACGUGUCAUUUACGCUGUUUUAAAGAUAGUGGUGUUUAAAACGGAAAAUGUCAUCUAUCAAGAGACAUUGGUAAAUAGCAAGAAACGUUACGUUUUACAAUAGGCACAUGCAUUUUGUUAAAACAUUCUUGAUGGUGCUAUUCAUUUUGUAAAGCUGGUAUGGUUGCUAGGGCUGUUCAAGCGACCAGGAGUUGUAGUUUCUUCGUUCUCACGUAAAAAGGCAUAUGUUGAGUUUGAGCGGCGCGGCAGGAUGAAAGGGGGUAGUUCUUCGAAAGUUAUUUUUCCACGUAUAUUGGACUUUGGG
rnacentral:misc_RNA from 1 species